rnacentral:rRNA from 1 species
UACGGGGGGGGCAAGCGUUGUUCGGAAUUACUGGGCGUAAAGGGCUCGUAGGCGGCCAACUAAGUCAGACGUGAAAUCCCCAGGCUCAACCUGGGAACUGCGUCUGAUACUGGAUGGCUUGAAUCCGGGAGAGGGAUGCAGAAUUCCAGGUGUAGCGGUGAAAUGCGUAGAUAUCUGGAGGAACACCGGUGGCGAAGGCGGCAUCCUGGACCAACACUGACGCUGAGGAGCGAAAGCCAGGGGAGCAAACGGG